GACGAACGCUGGCGGCGUGCUUAACACAUGCAAGUCGAGCGGUAAGGCCUUUCGGGGUACCCGAGCGGCGAACGGGUGAGUAACACGAGGGUGUUCUGCCCUGCCCUUCGGGAUAAGCCUGGGAAACUGGGUCUAAUACCGGAUAUGACCCCCUCUCCCAUGGAGGGUGGUGGACAGAUUUUGCGGUGCCGGAUGGGCCCGCGGCCUACCAGCUUGUUGGUGGGGUAGUGGCCGGCCAAGGAGACGGCGGAUAGCCGACCUGAGAGGGUGACCGUCCACACUGGGACUGAGACACGGCCCAGACUCCUACGGGAGGCAGCAGUGGGGAAUAUUGCACAAUGGGCGAAAGCCUGAUGCAGCGACGCCGCGUGUGGGAUGACGGCCUUCGGGUUGUAAACCUCUUUCAGCAGGGACGAAGCGGAAGUGACGGUACCUGCAGAAGAAGCACCGGCUAACUACGUG
rnacentral:rRNA from 1 species